UACGAAGGGGGCCAGCGUUGCUCGGAAUUACUGGGCGUAAAGGGAGCGUAGGCGGACAUUUAAGUCAGAGGUGAAAUCCCGGAGCUUAACUUCGGAACUGCCUUUGAUACUGGAUGUCUUGAGUGUGAGAGAGGUAUGUGGAACUCCGAGUGUAGAGGUGAAAUUCGUAGAUAUUCGGAAGAACACCAGUGGCGAAGGCGACAUACUGGCUCAUUACUGACGCUGAGGCUCGAAAGCGUGGGGAGCAAACAGG
rnacentral:rRNA from 1 species